rnacentral:lncRNA from 1 species
UAUAUAUAUAUAUAUAUAUAUAUAUAUAUAUAUAUAUAUAUAUAUAUAUAUAUAUAUAUACCAUGUUUGUGUGUGUUUGUGAGUGGUGGUGUUUGUCUGUGUAAGGAGGGAUGAGUGGCUGAGUUGCAGGUGUUCCCAGGGUGUUGGUGAGUGCAGUGAGGGUUUGUGUUUUCCCCACAGGAUGUGCUGCACCGGUGGGAGGCGUCAAGAGAAGCACCUCUUUGUAUCCCCGCCCACCACUUGAUUGAACACAUGAAGGUGCUCCAGAGUUUCAAGAAUGGAGUGGCACACAUGUAAUACUCCAAGGUUUGGAGGUCCAGCGGCACACUGCGCACUGCCUUCAUAAACGUGUGUGCAGAGUGCAAGACAGAGUGGCAAGGAUGGAGGAUGCUGCAACAUUCACAGCAUCAUUGCUUCACAGUUUGAACUGAAGGAUUAUGUCAUCAUUCAUAUUUAUAGAUUUCAUUACCUAACACUGUGUUGACCUUUAUGUAUCAAAUCACUUCAUUACAUGUAAGUGUAUACUAUUUAGCUGCAAGGAGUAGCGGUUUAUGAGAUUUGUAAUGUAUUAAAAGUGACUUAUAAGAGAUCUUGCAUUAUGAAGAUUUGUUGAAAGGUGUUUGUUUAUUAGCAUGAUCUAGUUGUGUCAGUCUUUACAGUCCAGACUGUACAGACAUGAACCAUUGGCCAUUGCACUUCCUGCAGAUGGAAUUUCAGUCAAUGCUUUAAGUGUGUGUGUGUGUGUGUGUGCAGCUUUGUGGGCAAGUGUGCCAGUCAUUCCUUGAUGUCAAUGACUUUCAUUUAGGAAAAAAAUGUUUUGUAUGAUUAGGUUUAUAUACAUUUUUGAGUGAGAAUGUUAGGACUAAUUAAAAAGUAAGUUUCUCAACUUUGUAGAGCUUUGCUGUUGUUGUUCUGUGUGAGAUUUCAGGGGUCGCAUUCUACAAACCUUAUGAUGUGAUGGUAGCAAGAUAAAAUGGUGUAUUUUAGACAUAAGUCCCUCUGUGACAGGCUCUAACCUUGUGACUUGUCAUAAGUGCCAAAAAUGACAAAUGGUACAAUUUAGACACAAAUCCCUCAAUGACAGACUCUAACUUUGUGACUGUCAUGAGUGCCAAGACAGGGUUCAAUUCAACCACCAUCUUAAAACUCUCGUCAGCAUGGUGGGAGCUUGGCUGUAUGUACCAUAGCAUGAUCCCGACAGUUUUUAAUAUUAAUGAUGAAUAUCCGUAAUGAUGAGAAAAUAAUGUCCUCCUUUCAUGCAGUAAUUUACCAUUAUAGAUAACUGCCAAGAGGAAUACAAUCAGUUUUCCCUAAACUCAAACAAACCUUGCCCUGUGUGGCCUGCAUGUGUCAUGUGUUGGGCGUAAUCUUCUGUUUGCCAUGUUUCUUUUGUUUGGAUACACAGUCUAACUAUUCCCAAAGUAGUAAUAAGAUGUCAAAAUAAUCCAAGUUGUAGAAAUUUAUGUCAAGGAACUAUUGCUUUCUACACAUAUAUAAAACUGACAAGUUGUGAACCCAAAAACCAACAGUGGAGUGACGGUCAGGCAUUCAGUGAGACCUGAGGCUGACUGUGUAGAAUGCGGCCCCAGAAUGAUGGUCUGUGUUUUGUGUAUUUAUGGUGACAAUGUAGUGUUGCAAGGGACAACAUGCUGUUUGAGAGCAAUGCCAGUGUGAAACUGAAAUCCUUAAAGAAUCAUUGUACAGAGUUGAUAGUUCCUCACAGACUUUUGCAAUGAAGAUAGACUCAAGAUACUUUUAGAAUUUGUAGUUUCCAACAGACUUGUGCAAUGAAAAGGCUUUCAAAAUGCUACUCUUUAUGUUCUUAUUUUUUUUUUCUUAGCUGACAAAUGUAUGGAUGGCAAUGACAGGUGGAAUGAGGUAGACCUGUUCAUACAGGGAAUGCUGCCAUGUAUGUGGAGGUCUCAUGGCUCCUUUUUGCAACUUUCCUCUUUUUUAUUUUUUAAUAAUCUUGUAAGUUGAAAAUAUUCCUAGAGUAAUUGCAAUACUUGUGAAAAAUUGUCCCAAGUUGGAAAUUGCAAAAGUUCUGCUGUAAAAAUUUUCUAAGGUGAAUAUUGUAAAAAUUUUCUAAAUUUUUUUUUGUAAAAAUUUUCUAAGAUUUUUUUUAAAUUGAAAAUUUUCUAAGAAAAAAUUUUUUAAGUUGAAAAAUUUGGUAGAGUUUUUUCUUUUUACUUGUAUAAGUUUUCCAAGUUUAUGUAAAAAAAAAUUAGUUUUUUGACUUGUACGAUGUAAACAGAAUUUGCAUCGUAAACAUAGAAUUUGCUUUUUCUUCUAAGUUGAAAAUUUUGGUGGAGUUUUUUGACAAAUGUGUGAGUAUGAUAGGUAAAAAUUUUAUAAGUUGAAAAUUUUGGUAGAGUUUUUUUGACUUGUAUGAAAAUGUGUGAAUUGAAUAAAAGUAAAGGAAGG